rnacentral:rRNA from 1 species
UACGUAGGUGGCAAGCGUUGUCCGGAUUUAUUGGGCGUAAAGAGCUCGUAGGCGGUUGGGCAAGUCACGUGUGAAAUCUCCACGCUCAACGUGGAGGCGCCACGUGAGACUGCCCUGACUCGAGUCCGGUAGGGGAGCGUGGAAUUCCCGGUGUAGCGGUGAAAUGCGCAGAGAUCGGGAGGAACACCCGUAGCGAAGGCGGCGCUCUGGGCCGGUACUGACGCUGAGGAGCGAAAGCGUGGGGAGCAAACAGG